AUUGAACGCUGGCGGCAGGCCUAACACAUGCAAGUCGAGCGGUAGAGAGGAGCUUGCUUCUCUUGAGAGCGGCGGACGGGUGAGUAAUGCCUAGGAAUCUGCCUGGUAGUGGGGGAUAACGUUCGGAAACGGACGCUAAUACCGCAUACGUCCUACGGGAGAAAGUGGGGGAUCUUCGGACCUCACGCUAUCAGAUGAGCCUAGGUCGGAUUAGCUAGUUGGUGAGGUAAAGGCUCACCAAGGCGACGAUCCGUAACUGGUCUGAGAGGAUGAUCAGUCACACUGGAACUGAGACACGGUCCAGACUCCUACGGGAGGCAGCAGUGGGGAAUAUUGGACAAUGGGCGCAGGCCUGAUCCAGCCAUGCCGCGUGUGUGAAGAAGGUCUUCGGAUUGUAAAGCACUUUAAGUUGGGAGGAAGGUCAGUAGCUUAAUACGUUGCUGAUUUGACGUUACCGACAGAAUAAGCACCGGCUAACUCUGUGCCAGCCGCCGCAGUAAAAC
rnacentral:rRNA from 1 species